rnacentral:tRNA from 1 species
ACUCCCAUGGCGUAGUGGUCACUGCGCCUAGCACGCGGGAGACCCGGGUUCGAUUCCCGGUGGGUUUU